rnacentral:misc_RNA from 1 species
GAUGAAGAACGCAGCGAAAUGCGAUAAGUAGUGUGAAUUGCAGAAUUCAGUGAAUCAUCGAAUCUUUGAACGCACAUUGCGCCCUUUGGUAUUCCAAAGGGCAUGCCUGUUCGAGCGUCAUUUGUACCCUCAAGCUUUGCUUGGUGUUGGGCGUCUUUUUGUCUCCCCUUGCGGGAGACUCGCCUUAAAGUCAUUGGCAGCCGGCCUACUGGUUUCGGAGCGCAGCACAAGUCGCGCUCUCUUCCAGCCCCAAGGUCUAGCAUCCAACAAGCCUUUUUUUCAACUUUUGACCUCGGAUCAGGUAGGGAUACCCGCUGAACUUAAGCAUAUCAAUAAGCGGAGGA